rnacentral:ncRNA from 1 species
UCAUUGGUCGCUGCAGUUAGAAAGUUUGGCAGCGUAAACCCAGCACCGGACAUGACGAAGAGG